rnacentral:rRNA from 1 species
CCGGUUGAUCCUGCCAGAGGCUACUGCUAUCGGGGUCCGACUAAGCCAUGCGAGUUGAGAGGGGUAAGCCCUCGGCAUAUUGCUCAGUAACACGCGGAUAACCUGCCCUUGGGUUUGGGAUAACCCCGGGAAACUGGGACUAAUACCGGAUAGAUCAAAGAAACUGGAAUGUUCUUUGGUUGAAAGCUCCGGCGCCCAAGGAUGGGUCUGCGGCCUAUCAGGUAGUAGUGGGUGUAACGUACCUACUAGCCUACGACGGGUAAGGGUUGUGAGAGCAAGAGCCCUGAGAUGGAUUCUGAGACAUGAAUCCAGGCCCUAUGGGGCGCAGCAGGCGCGAAACCUCUGCAAUAGGCGAAAGCUUGACAGGGUUACUCUGAGUGACUUUCGUUAAGAAAGUCUUUUGACACCUCUAAAAAUGGUGUAGAAUAAGGGGUGGGCAAGUCUGGUGUCAGCCGCCGCGGUAAUACCAGCACCCCGAGUGGUCGGGACGAUUAUUGGGCCUAAAGCAUCCGUAGCCGGCCUUACAAGUCCUCCGUUAAAUCCAGCUGCUUAACAGAUGGGCUGCGGAGGAUACUAUAAGACUAGGAGGCAGGAGAGGCAAGCGGUACUCAGUGGGUAGGGGUAAAAUCCGUUGAUCCAUUGAAGACCACCAGUGGCGAAGGCGGCUUGCCAGAAUGCGCUCGACGGUGAGGGAUGAAAGCUGGGGGAGCAAACCGGAUUAGAUACCCGGGUAGUCCCAGCUGUAAACGAUGCAGACUCGGUGAUGGACUAGCUUUAUGCUGGUCCAGUGCCGCAGGGAAGCCGUUAAGUCUGCCGCCUGGGUAGUACGGUCGCAAGACUGAAACUUAAAGGAAUUGGCGGGGGAGCGCCACAAGGGGUGAAGCCUGCGGUUCAAUUGGAGUCAACGCCGGG